rnacentral:tRNA from 1 species
GUUCUUAUCGUCUAAUGGUUAGGACGUCACUCUUUCACAGUGGUAAUACGGGUUCAAAUCCCGUUAAGAAUA